UCGGUUUAUUUGGACGACGCCGUUUGUCAUUCAGACAGUUGGGACGAACAUUUGGCUCGCAUUCGAGCGCUUUUCCAGAGGUUGGUGGCAGCAAACCUCACAGUAAAUUUAGCGAAAUGCGAGUUUGCGCGUGCCACAGUCGUCUAUUUGGGUAAAGUAGUCGGCCAGGGGAUGGUGCGGCCCGUUAACGCAAAGGUGGCAGCUAUUGAUAAUUUCCCUGUGCCGGCGACGAAGAAAGAACUUAUGCGCUUUUUGGGUAUGAUCGGGUACUACCGCAAUUUUUGCUGCAAUUUUUCAACUGUUGUAUCUCCUCUGACCAAUUUGUUGAAGGGUGGCGCCAAAUUCAUUUGGUCGGAGGAGUGUCAGCAGGCUUUCCAGAAUGCAAAGCUUUUGUUAACAUCAGCUCCGGUCCUGGCUGCACCCAAACUGGAUCUGCCAUUCCAGCUGCAGGUGGAUGCAAGCCAGGUGGGAGCAGGUGCGGUCCUCCUGCAGGCUGAUGAUGAUGGAGUAGCCAGACCGGUUUGCUAUUUUUCAAAAAAAUUCAACAAAUACCAAUUUAAUUAUUCAGUGAUUGAAAAGGAAGCAUUAGCAUUGAUUUGGGCAUUGCAACACUUUGAAGUCUAUGUGGGAGGGGGUCUCCAUCCAAUUGUGGUCUACUCAGAUCACAACCCUCUCACUUUUCUACAGUCUUUCAAAGGGUCCACCAACCAGCGCCUGUUGCGCUGGGCACUGUUUCUGCAGCCAUUCCACAUGUUGAUCCGCCAUAUUCGCGGGGUGGAAAAUGUAAUGGCUGAUGCGCUCUCUCGGGCUCUGGACCAGGAGGUCUAAUCAUCUCCACUCACUCCUAACCUGCGGUUUUUCUCUGUUUCCCUUAAAGGUCGCUGUCCGGGUACCAGGAUUUGCUGGGUGCAGGGAAGGUCGGAGGGCACAUUCGUUUGGUGACCGUAUGGUCACGGCAACGACGGCCGGGAUUAGCACCACACUAACACCCUUUUGGACAACACUCAUUUACUGAUACAUUCCUUGGUUAAUUCACAUUACUGAUCACUGAUACAUGUUGUAAAUAAAAGAUCUGUUGGCUAAAA